AUAUUGUUUUUCCCAAAUGUUGCUCAAACCAAAUUUUAGCCUACUAGAUGAUGCAGGUUGGUUGCUGAAACUUAUCCCACAUCCUCAAUUAGCAUAGGUGGCCCUGCGUGUUGGGGUCGAAAAAAGGAUAGGUUCAAGCUAAACUUCCCACAGGAAAGGAUGUUCCAUGUUUUCCAUCCAGACCAAAGCAGUUAACAGGCUAGCAGCAAAUACACAUUCCUCACACAAAAAAGCAAACGAUAAACGGCCGAAAAUAGCAGGAAACUUGAGAAAACUCCUCAAAAAAAAAAAAAAAAAAAAAAAAACCCGAUAAUGUUAGAAAGAAAGAAAGCCGUUAGGAAUAUUUUGAAAGUGAUUUAUGCAAUAUUUUAUCAUUUCAAAGUAAAAAGUCACUUAAGAAUUAAGAUUGUUGAAUAAUCAGAUCACUUAACAAAAUGCAACAAUUAGAUAACCACACAAUGUUUGGUAAUAUCUCGCAAUUAGAGGUCACAAAGUUACUACUAAGAGUUAACCCAAGCCAUCGUCUGAGUUUCCCCCAUUACAUGAAACGACCAUUAAAAAAGUUUCUCAUCUAGAAUAGAGAGAAGAGACUACUUGCAUUGUCCAACCAAAUCGGGAACAACCAUAAUGGUAAUAAUGUCAGCCAACCAAAAAAACAGGAAUGAUUUACCAUCACAAGUGACAACUUUUUUGUUGGCCAAGACAGAAAACAUCCACUGAUCAUAUAUCACAAAAAUUAUUGCCCACCUAAGCAGAAUACUAAUAAUCUGGUACAACCACCAGCCAUCUCUUCCUUCAUACUUUAUGAAGAGAAACAGCUAACUCACUCUCACCAUUCAAUUUUAACUACUAAUAUUAUGACACCACUCUCAUAUUUGGACUUUUUUUAUUGGGAGUUCCUAAAGUACUAAAUCUCACAAACAUUUAAUGUUUUUUUAUGGGUCUUGAAAGAAAAAAAGAAAACUCUACAAACAACAGAAUUUUUGUGUGUGUGUGUGUGUGUGGGUCAUGUCAUGUCAAUAGAAAUGCAAAAUGCAGCUGGAAAUUAAUACUUCAAAACUCUACCAGUAACUAAAAUCUCCAAGACCUAAAUUUUUUUAAGACUGACUACAAGAGCCAUUGAUUCUUCCGGUGCUUCCUGUUUCAACAUAUUAACAUAAUGUGAAAAAGAAGAAAGAACUUGUCUGGAAUCAAGGCUUACACUUAACUUACACUUCCCCACCCUUUGGAGAGAAAGCUGGCAACUGCUGAAACCUUGAAGACAACCAUUUAGAACAAUUUAUGGUACUUCCCACAUAGAUAGCAGUAAGUGCAACUUUAAAAACAUCAUAUUAUCAGAUACAUCAUAUUGAAAUAAAGAAAUAUUUCAUAAAAGUAC
rnacentral:lncRNA from 1 species